rnacentral:rRNA from 1 species
GAGUGAAAAAGAACCUGAAACCGUGUACGUACAAGCAGUGGGAGCACAGAGCAAUCUGUGUGACUGCGUACCUUUUGUAUAAUGGGUCAGCGACUUAUAUUCUGUAGCAAGGUUAACCGAAUAGGGGAGCCGAAGGGAAACCGAGUCUUAACUGGGCGUUAAGUUGCAGGGUAUAGACCCGAAACCCGGUGAUCUAGCCAUGGGCAGGUUGAAGGUUGGGUAACACUAACUGGAGGACCGAACCGACUAAUGUUGAAAAAUUAGCGGAUGACUUGUGGCUGGGGGUGAAAGGCCAAUCAAACCGGGAGAUAGCUGGUUCUCCCCGAAAGCUAUUUAGGUAGCGCCUCGUGAAUUCAUCUCCGGGGGUAGAGCACUGUUUCGGCAAGGGGGUCAUCCCGACUUACCAACCCGAUGCAAACUGCGAAUACCGGAGAAUGUUAUCACGGGAGACACACGGCGGGUGCUAACGUCCGUCGUGAAGAGGGAAACAACCCAGACCGCCAGCUAAGGUCCCAAAGUCAUGGUUAAGUGGGAAACGAUGUGGGAAGGCCCAGACAGCCAGGAUGUUGGCUUAGAAGCAGCCAUCAUUUAAAGAAAGCGUAAUAGCUCACUGGUCGAGUCGGCCUGCGCGGAAGAUGUAACGGGGCUAAACCAUGCACCGAAGCUGCGGCAGCGACGCUUAUGCGUUGUUGGGUAGGGGAGCGUUCUGUAAGCCUGUGAAGGUGUACUGUGAGG